UACGUAGGGUGCAAGCGUUGUCCGGAAUUAUUGGGCGUAAAGAGCUCGUAGGCGGCUUGUCACGUCGGGUGUGAAAGCCCGGGGCUUAACCCCGGGUCUGCAUUCGAUACGGGCAGGCUAGAGUGUGGUAGGGGGGAUCGGAAUUCCUGGUGUAGCGGUGAAAUGCGCAGAUAUCAGGAGGGACACCGGUGGCGAAGGCGGGUCUCUGGGCCGAUACUGACGCUGAGGAGCGAAAGCGUGGGGAGCAAACAGG
rnacentral:rRNA from 1 species